rnacentral:misc_RNA from 1 species
GAUGAAGAACGUAGCAAAAUGCGAUAAGUAAUGUGAAUUGCAGAAUUCAGUGAAUCAUCGAAUCUUUGAACGCACAUUGCGCCCUCUGGUAUUCCGGAGGGCAUGCCUGUUCGAGCGUCAUUAAAACUACUCAAGCUAAGGUUUUACCUUCUGCUUGGUCUUGGGUUUGAGGAUUCAAAAUCCUCUCUCCGAAAUCCAGUGGCGAAUUGUUUGAGCUGUAGACGUAGUAAAUCAUUCUACCCGUUGCAAGCGAGAAUAAUAUUCAGCCAUAACCCCCAUACUUUUCUAGUUUGACCUCGGAUCAGGUAGGGAUACCCGCUGAACUUAAGCAUAUCAAUAAGCGGAGGA